UCCGUUGUGGUGUAACGGCUAGCAUCCGUCGCUUUCAUAGCGAACCGACGAGAUCGGGGUUCGAUUCCCCGCAACGGAG
rnacentral:tRNA from 1 species